GAGUUUGAUCGUGGCUCAGAUUGAACGCUGGCGGAAUGCUUUACACAUGCAAGUCGAGCGGCAGCGCGGGGCAACCUGGCGGCGAGCGGCGAACGGGUGAGUAAUGCAUCGGAACGUGUCCAUGUCGUGGGGGAUAGCCCGGCGAAAGCCGGAUUAAUACCGCAUACGCCCGAGAGGGGAAAGUGGGGGACCGCAAGGCCUCACGCGAUUGGGUCGGCCGAUGUCCGAUUAGCUAGUUGGCGGGGUAAAGGCCCACCAAGGCGAUGAUCGGUAGCUGGUCUGAGAGGAUGAUCAGCCACACUGGGACUGAGACACGGCCCAGACUCCUACGGGAGGCAGCAGUGGGGAAUUUUGGACAAUGGGGGCAACCCUGAUCCAGCCAUUCCGCGUGAGUGAAGAA
rnacentral:rRNA from 1 species